rnacentral:rRNA from 1 species
GUCUAUGGCUAUGCCACCCUGAACAAGCCCGAUGCUGUCUGAUUUUUGGAAGCUAAGCAGGAUUGGGCCUGGUUAGUACUUAGAUGGGAGACCACCUAGGAAGACCAGGUGCUGUAGGCG